UACGUAGGGGGCAAGCGUUGUCCGGAUUUAUUGGGCGUAAAGAGCGUGUAGGCGGCCAUGUAGGUCCGUUGUGAAAACUCGAGGCUCAACCUCGAGACGCCGAUGGAAACCAUGUGGCUAGGGUCCGGAAGAGGAGAGUGGAAUUCCUGGUGUAGCGGUGAAAUGCGCAGAUAUCAGGAAGAACACCCGUGGCUAAGGCGGCUCUCUAGUACGGUACUGACGCUGAGACGCGAAAGCGUGGGGAGCGAACAGG
rnacentral:rRNA from 1 species